GAUGAACGCUGGCGGCGUGCCUAAUACAUGCAAGUCGAGCGAACAGAUGAGGAGCUUGCUCCUCUGACGUUAGCGGCGGACGGGUGAGUAACACGUGGAUAACCUACCUAUAAGACUGGGAUAACUUCGGGAAACCGGAGCUAAUACCGGAUAAUAUAUUGAACCGCAUGGUUCAAUAGUGAAAGACGGUUUUGCUGUCACUUAUAGAUGGAUCCGCGCCGCAUUAGCUAGUUGGUAAGGUAACGGCUUACCAAGGCAACGAUGCGUAGCCGACCUGAGAGGGUGAUCGGCCACACUGGAACUGAAACACGGUCCAGACUCCUACGGGAGGCAGCAGUAGGGAAUCUUCCGCAAUGGGCGAAAGCCUGACGGGGCAACGCCGCGUGAGUGAUGAAGGUCUUCGGAUCGUAAAACUCUGUUAUUAGGGAAGAACAAAUGUGUAAGUAACUAUGCACGUCUUGACGGUACCUAAUCAGAAAGCCACGGCUAACUACGUG
rnacentral:rRNA from 1 species